AAUACAUAAGUUACUAAGGGCUUAUGGUGGAUGCCUUGGCACUAGAAGGCGAUGAAGGACGUGCAAACCUGCGAAAUGCUACGGGGAGCUGGUUGGAAGCGAUAAUCCGUAGAUGUCCGAAUGGGGGAACCUGAUUAAUAGUGAUAUUAAUUAUUUAGAUCUGAAUACAUAGGGUCUAAAAGCAAUACGUUGUGAAGUGAAACAUCUCAGUAGCAACAGGAAAAGAAAUCGAAAGAGAUUCCGUGUGUAGUGGCGAGCGAAAGCGGAACAGGCCAAACCAAGAUUUAUCUUGGGGUUAUAGGACUGCAAUGUGGACUUUGAACUGAUAGGAGAAGUAGUUGAAAAGCUACGCGAUAAAGGGUUAUAGCCCCGUAUCUUAAAUUGGUUUAAUACCUAGCAGGAUCCUGAGUACAUCGAGAAACGUUAUCUUGAUGGAAGUCGCCCAGACCAUUGGGCAAGCCUAAAUACUAACUAGUGACCGAUAGCGUAUAGUACCGUGAGGGAAAGGUGAAAAGAACCCAGGGAUGGGAGUGAA
rnacentral:rRNA from 1 species